AUUGAACGCUGGCGGCAUGCCUUACACAUGCAAGUCGAACGGCAGCACGGGAGCAAUCCUGGUGGCGAGUGGCGAACGGGUGAGUAAAGUAUCGGAACGUGCCCAGUCGGGGGGGAUAACGUAGCGAAAGUUACGCUAAUACCGCAUACGAUCUAUGGAUGAAAGCGGGGGAGCGCAAGACCUCGCGCGAUUGGAGCGGCCGAUAUCAGAUGAGGUAGUUGGUGGGGUAAAGGCCCACCAAGCCGACGAUCUGUAGCUGGUCUGAGAGGACGACCAGCCACACGGGGACUGAGACACGGCCCAGACUCCUACGGGAGGCAGCAGUGGGGAAUUUUGGACAAUGGGCGAAAGCCUGAUCCAGCCAUGCCGCGUGCAGGAUGAAGGCCUUCGGGUUGUAAACUGCUUUUGUACGGAACGAAAAGGACUGCCCUAAUACGGUGGUCCCAUGACGGUACCGUAAGAAUAAGCACCGGCUAACUACGUGCCAGCCGCCGCAGUAA
rnacentral:rRNA from 1 species